GGCCGCUGUGAUCCCUUCGGGGUGAACUUGGCGCUGACGAGUGGCGGACGGGUGAGUAAUACAUAGGAAUCUGCCCAGUAGUGGGGGACAACUCGGGGAAACUCGAGCUAAUACCGCAUACGCCCUACGGGGGAAAGCAGGGGAUCUUCGGACCUUGCACUAUUGGAUGAGCCUAUGUCAGAUUAGCUUGUUGGUGAGGUAAAGGCUCACCAAGGCAACGAUCUGUAGCUGGUCUGAGAGGACGAUCAGCCACACUGGGACUGAGACACGGCCCAGACUCCUACGGGAGGCAGCAGUGGGGAAUAUUGGACAAUGGGCGCAAGCCUGAUCCAGCAAUGCCGCGUGUGUGAAGAAGGCCUGAGGGUUGUAAAGCACUUUCAAUCGCGAAGAAAAGCUUUCGGUUAAUACCCGAAAGUCUUGACGUUAACGAUACAAGAAGCACCGGCUAACUCCGUGCCAGCAGCCGCGGUAAUACGGAGGGUGCGAGCGUUAAUCGGAAUUACUGGGCGUAAAGCGUACGUAGGCGGCUUGGUCAGUCGGAUGUGAAAGCCCCGGGCUUAACCUGGGAAUUGCACUCGAUACUGCCAGACUAGAGUUUAGUAGAGGAAUGCGGAAUUCCGGGUGUAGCGGUGAAAUGCGUAGAUAUCCGGAGG
rnacentral:rRNA from 1 species